AACGAACGCUGGCGGCAGGCUUAACACAUGCAAGUCGAACGCAUCCUUCGGGGUGAGUGGCAGACGGGUGAGUAACGCGUGGGAACGUGCCCUUCAGUUCGGGAUAACCCAGGGAAACUUGGGCUAAUACCGGAUACGUGCGAGAGCAGAAAGAUUUAUCGCUGAAGGAUCGGCCCGCGUCUGAUUAGCUAGUUGGUGGGGUAAUGGCCCACAAAGGCGACGAUCAGUAGCUGGUCUGAGAGGAUGAUCAGCCACAUUGGGACCGAGACACGGCCCAAACUCCUACGGGAGGCAGCAGUGGGGAAUAUUGGACAAUGGGCGCAAGCCUGAUCCAGCCAUGCCGCGUGAGUGAUGAAGGCCUUAGGGUUGUAAAGCUCUUUCGUCCGGGACGAUAAUGACGGUACCGGAAGAAGAAGCCCCGGCUAACUUCGUGCCAGCAGCCGCGGUAAUAC
rnacentral:rRNA from 1 species